GAUGAACGCUGGCGGCGUGCCUAAUACAUGCAAGUCGAGCGAACGGACGAGAAGCUUGCUUUUCUGAUGUUAGCGGCGGACGGGUGAGUAACACGUGGAUAACCUACCUAUAAGACUGGGAUAACUUCGGGAAACCGGAGCUAAUACCGGAUAAUAUUUUGAACCGCAUGGUUCAAAAGUGAAAGACGGUCUUGCUGUCACUUAUAGAUGGAUCCGCGCUGCAUUAGCUAGUUGGUAAGGUAACGGCUUACCAAGGCAACGAUGCAUAGCCGACCUGAGAGGGUGAUCGGCCACACUGGAACUGAGACACGGUCCAGACUCCUACGGGAGGCAGCAGUAGGGAACCUUCCGCAAUGGGCGAAAGCCUGACGGAGCAACGCCGCGUGAGUGAUGAAGGUCUUCGGAUCGUAAAACUCUGUUAUUAGGGAAGAACAUAUGUGUAAGUAACUGUGCACAUCUUGACGGUACCUAAUCAGAAAGCCACGGCUAACUACGUGCCAGCAGCCGCGGUAAUACGCAGGUGGCAAGCGUUAUCCGGAAUUAUUGGGCGUAAAGCGCGCGUAGGCGGUUUUUUAAGUCUGAUGUGAAAGCCCACGGCUCAACCGUGGAGGGUCAUUGGAAACUGGAAAACUUGAGUGCAGAAGAGGAAAGUGGAAUUCCAUGUGUAGCGGUGAAAUGCGCAGAGAUGUGGAGGAACACCAGUGGCGAAGGCGACUUUCUGGUCUGUAACUGACGCUGAUGUGCGAAAGCGUGGGGAUCAAACAGGAUUAGAUACCCUGGUAGUCCACGCCGUAAACGAUGAGUGCUAAGUGUUAGGGGGUUUCCGCCCCUUAGUGCUGCAGCUAACGCAUUAAGCACUCCGCCUGGGGAGUACGACCGCAAGGUUGAAACUCAAAGGAAUUGACGGGGGCCCGCACAAGCGGUGGAGCAUGUGGUUUAAUUCGAAGCAACGCGAAGAACCUUACCAAAUCUUGACAUCCUUUGACAACUCUAGAGAUAGAGCCUUCCCCUUCGGGGGACAAAGUGACAGGUGGUGCAUGGUUGUCGUCAGCUCGUGUCGUGAGAUGUUGGGUUAAGUCCCGCAACGAGCGCAACCCUUAAGCUUAGUUGCCAUCAUUAAGUUGGGCACUCUAAGUUGACUGCCGGUGACAAACCGGAGGAAGGUGGGGAUGACGUCAAAUCAUCAUGCCCCUUAUGAUUUGGGCUACACACGUGCUACAAUGGACAAUACAAAGGGCAGCGAAACCGCGAGGUCAAGCAAAUCCCAUAAAGUUGUUCUCAGUUCGGAUUGUAGUCUGCAACUCGACUACAUGAAGCUGGAAUCGCUAGUAAUCGUAGAUCAGCAUGCUACGGUGAAUACGUUCCCGGGUCU
rnacentral:rRNA from 1 species